UACGUAGGGGGCAAGCGUUGUCCGGAAUCAUUGGGCGUAAAGGGCGCGUAGGCGGACGAGAAAGUCCGGGGUGAAAUCUUUCGGCUUAACCGGAAAAGUGCCUCGGAUACUGCUUGUCUUGAGGGAGGUAGGGGCAUGUGGAACUUCCGGUGGAGCGGUGAAAUGCGUUGAUAUCGGAAGGAACGCCGGUGGCGAAAGCGACGUGCUGGCCCUCUUCUGACGCUGAGGCGCGAAAGCUAGGGGAGCAAACGGG
rnacentral:rRNA from 1 species